GUAGGGAAUAUUGGACAAUGGGGGCAACCCUGAUCCAGCGACGCCGCGUGAGUGACGAAGGCCUUCGGGUUGUAAACUGCUUUUGUACGGAACGAAACGGUCCGGGUUAAUACCCUGGGCUAAUGACGGUACCGUAAGAAUAAGCACCGGCUAACUACGUGCCAGCAGCCGCGGUAAUACGUAGGGUGCAAGCGUUAAUCGGAAUUACUGGGCGUAAAGCGUGCGCAGGCGGUUUUGUAAGACAGGCGUGAAAUCCCCGGGCUCAACCUGGGAAUUGCGCUUGUGACUGCAAGGCUGGAGUGCGGCAGAGGGGGAUGGAAUUCCGCGUGUAGCAGUGAAAUGCGUAGAUAUGCGGAGGAACACCGAUGGCGAAGGCAAUCCCCUGGGCCUGCACUGACGCUCAUGCACGAAAGCGUGGGGAGCAAACAGGAUUAGAAACCCGGGUAGUCC
rnacentral:rRNA from 1 species